rnacentral:rRNA from 1 species
UACAGAGACUGCGAGCGUUAUUCGGAUUCACUGGGCGUAAAGGGUGCGCAGGCGGCCAAGUGUGUUAGGCGUGAAAGCCCGAGGCUUAACCUAGGAAUUGCACCUAAAACUACUUGGCUAGAGUACUGGAGAGGGAAACGGAAUUCACGGUGUAGCAGUGAAAUGCGUAGAUAUCGUGAGGAACACCAGAGGCGAAGGCGGUUUCCUGGACAGUUACUGACGCUCAGGCACGAAAGCGUGGGGAGCAAAAGGG